AGAAUCAACGCUGGCGGCGUGCCUCAGACAUGCAAGUCGAACGAGAAAGUUCCCUUCGGGGGAUGAGUAAAGUGGCGCACGGGUGAGUAACACGUAGGUAAUCUACCUUCGGGUGGGGAAUAACCCAGGGAAACUUGGGCUAACACCGCAUAAUGCAGCGGCACCACAUGGUGACAGUUGUUAAAGCGGGGGAUUUUCGAACCUCGCGCCUGAAGAGGAGCCUGCGGCAGAUUAGCUAGUUGGUAGGGUAACGGCUUACCAAGGCGACGAUCUGUAGCCGGCCUGAGAGGGCGGUCGGCCACACUGACACUGACAUACGGGUCAGACUCCUACGGGAGGCAGCAGUCGGGAAUUUUGGGCAAUGGGCGAAAGCCUGACCCAGCAACGCCGCGUGAAGGAUGAAAUCCUUCGGGAUGUAAACUUCGCAAGAAUGGGAAGAAUUAGUAGGGGCUAAUACCCCCUAUGAUGACGGUACCAUUUGUAAGCUCCGGCUAACUCCGUGCCAGCAGCCGCGGUAAUACGGGGGGAGCAAGCGUUGUUCGGAUUUACUGGGCGUAAAGGGCGCGUAGGCGGCCAGCGCAAGUCAGUUGUGAAAUCUCCGGGCUUAACUCGGAAAGGUCAACUGAUACUGCGCGGCUAGAGUGCGGAAGGGGCAACUGGAAUUCUCGGUGUAGCGGUGAAAUGCGUAGAUAUCGAGAGGAACACCUGCGGCGAAGGCGGGUUGCUGGGCCGACACUGACGCUGAGGCGCGAAAGCCAGGGGAGCGAACGGGAUUAGAUACCCCGGUAGUCCUGGCCUUAAACGAUGGAUGCUUGGUGUCUGGAGUUUUAUAGUCUCCGGGUGCCGCAGCUAACGCGUUAAGCAUCC
rnacentral:rRNA from 1 species